AUUGAACGCUGGCGGCAGGCUUAACACAUGCAAGUCGCACGAGUGGCGAACGGGUGCGUAAUGCCUGGGAAACUGCCUAGUGGUGGGGGAUAACUACUGGAAACGGUAGCUAAUACCGCAUACCAUCAGAUGUGCCGAGAUGUGAUUAGCUGGUUGGCGGGGUAACGGCAUACCAAGGCGACGAUCCAUAGCUGGUCUGAGAGGAUGAUCGGCCACACUGUGACUGAGACACGGUCCAGACUCCUACGGGAGGCAGCAGUGGGGAAUAUUGCACAAUGGGCGCAAGCCUGAUGCAGCCAUGCCGCGUGUAUGAAGAAGGCCUUCGGGUUGUAAAGUACUUUUGGCGGGGAGGCGGGACCUGAAGAAUAAGCACCGGCUAACUCCGUGCCAGCAGCCGCGGUAAUAC
rnacentral:rRNA from 1 species